GAAUAGCUCAGUCAGUAGAGCAUGAGACUCUUAAUCUCAGGGUUGUGGGUUCGAGCCCCAUGUUGGGCA